rnacentral:rRNA from 1 species
GCUGCAACUCGCCUACAUGAAGUUGGAAUCGCUAGUAAUCGCGAAUCAGAAUGUCGCGGUGAAUACGUUCCCGGGUCUUGUACACACCGCCCGUCACACCAUGAGAGUCUGUAACACCCAAAGCCGGUGGGAUAACCUUUAUAGGAGUCAGCCGUCUAAGGUAGGACAGAUGAUUAGGGUGAAGUCGUAACAAGGUAGC